CCAGACAAAGGGUUGAAUCGGAGCUGCAGCUGCCCACCUAUACCACAGCCACAGCCACGUGGGAUCUGAGUCGUGUCUUCCACCUACCCCACAACUCAUGGCAAUGCCGGAUCUGUAACCCACUGAGCGAGGCCAGGGAUUGAAUUCACAUCCUCAUGGAUACCAGUGGGAUUCGUUUCUGCUGUGCCACAUCAGGAACUCCCAGGUGUUGUCUUCUUUAACAGGUUUUGAGAAUCUACCAUCUGCCAGUGCUUGAGAUACAGACUACCUUUAGGGAAGUGCUUGUCUGGCAGGAAAGCUAGCCAGCCACCAUCACCAGAGGAGCAGAACGCUGUGGGGGCCCAGACAUGAGGAGGGAGAAGCAGUUAUUUAGCAGGGAGACUGGGAAGAUAAGAUGACUCUUCUCCAGUAAACUGACUCUUGAGCAGAACCUCAGACGAUGAGCAAGACUUUUGCCAAAAGGAGAAAAAAAUUAAGAGAAAAGUAUGAACAGAAAGGUGGAAGUAGGAAGUACAUGUUGGGUUCAGAAGCCACUGAAAGACCUUAGAAAGAGAUGGGAUGUGAUCAGAUAAGUAUUUUGGGGAGAAGACCAAGGAUGAAUUAAAAGAAUUUCCCAUCUGUCUUAUGACUCUUUUCUGGAGCCUUGGGACUUUGGCGGUGUGGGAUUUCGUUUUCUGGACAUUGGCCUGGUGUCUGUGAACAUCUCCUUGAACUCCGUUACAGGCUUGCUCUCUGAUUCCUUUAAGAUAAAGAUGAAUGCCAUGUCUCAACCAACACUGAAAAUUUGAAGUUGAGAAGACAUUUGCUAAGUCAAGCCACUUCACGGAAGUUGUUAUUCAAGUCAAAUACAUCAUAAUGCAGAAUUCCUUGUCAGUACCACCAAAAAAUCAAGGUAAGAUAAACCAUGCUUGGGAAAGUGGUCAUGUGUGUGGUAUAAAGAGUCUAAUUGAUACAUUUAAUGUCACUAUCCUCUAACCGUAAGAUGACUUAUUCCUUGGAACUAAGAAAAAAAAUUCUAAUUAUAUAUGAAAGUUGAUUUCCUUUGGUAAAUUACUUGAGUGCCCGUGGAUUCCUGGUUUACAAGGAUACAGCUACUUUAUUGCGAGCUUCUUGAGAACGAGGCCAUCUCAUUGCACACAAAACUCACAGCCCAGCCUGUUAACUGGCACCAAGAGAUGUCAAAUGAAGUUCCAGGGUAUUGGCUUUAAUGAAGCAGAAUGACAUGUUUUAGGGAGAAGGGUGUUUACCGUAUAUAUAUAUAUAUAUAUAUUCAUGCACACGUAUGCACAGAUAACACACAUGGAGAAAGAGGGGAUAUUUGCGUAUAUGUUUUUGUCCUAUUUCUUCUCAUGUACCCUUUAAAAAAAGAAACCUAAGGAAAAAAAAGCACUUCCCCUCCAUAUGAUUUUUUUAAAAAAGAAAAUCAGGAUUUUUAAACAAGAGUUCCUAAACCUUUCAGAAGAGCAGUUUACAGGUGGAGAUAAAGUCAUUUCUGAAUAAAGAAUAAUUAUGUUUUUCUCAGUAUAAAGGGCAAAGUCUAACCUUUAAGAGGAAUUCAAAUCUUUCCCCUGCCGCUCCAAACAGGAGAGAAGUUUUGAAGAGAGAGAAAAAUACUGUCUUUAAAUGAUUCAAAAUUGGGCAUCCUUAGCAGAAGGCGUAACUUUCAGUGAAUGGAGGGAAUUUGCUAUAAAGAACCCUUAACUGGAGCAAACAUGCUUUGCUCGUUCCAGCAGAAAUAAAGGUAAUAUCCUAACUAUAAAGAGCUUGGGAUCUGUUUGAAAGUCUUUUUUUCUUUCUUUCUUUCUUUUUACAGCUGCACUUGCAGCAUAUGGAAGUUCCCAGGCUAGGGGUCGAACUGGAGCUGUAGCUGCCGGCCUACACCACAGCCAUGGCAACAGUGGAUACAAACCACAUCUGCAACCUACACCGCAGCUUGCAGCAAUGCCAGAUCCUUAACCCACUGAGCGAAGCCAGGGAUCGAAGCCACAAGGGGAACUCCUGUUUGAAACUCAUUUCUGUCACUGAAUUGCAUAAUCUUAGGUACAUCACUUGACCUUAAGCUUCUCAUCUAUGAAUCUAUAAAAUGAAGGCAGUGAGUCCUACCCUAUAGGUUACAUGGAGAUUAAAGGAGAUGCUCUAUGUAAAUCACCCCACGUAUUGCUGAGUGCAGAGCAGGCACUUACACGGUGAUCGUGGCUCUUGCCCCCUCAUGGUGUCUGUUAAUAUCUGGACUCUCUCCAUCUAUGGAGGCUGAUACAACGCGAUGGGCAUGUUGGCCUCCUGCUUGGGAUGUCUGCCAGCCUUCGACGGCCAAGCCUGACCCAGGGGGACUCCUGGGAAGUGAACACAGAGCAGACCCCCUGGCUUGGCCCUCAUCCAGGCCUUGGGCCCUAGGGAAAGGAAGAGUCCUCAAGACCCAUACACGCUCUAGCCCUGAACACUAGGGCAGGAAGGGAGGGAGAAAGGAGAGCAGACACUCCUUUGGGUUAAGUAAAAGGGUACGCUGUCCAUGAGUACUUCUGCUCUGUACCCUUUGGAAGUCUUCUGCCGUGGUAGGAGCUGAUCAAGGGCUUGGCAGUUCAGUAUUUGAGCGGGUAUCACCUCCUUCCUCAAGCAGGCAAGGAGAGAUACGCCUGCAUAGAAGAAGGCGUGCUGGACCAGAUGUCAGGAAAGCUGGGCUCCUGUCCCGGAUCUGCCUCCAACCAGCUCUAGAACCUCAGAGAAGCUAUUUUGCCCCUAAGCCUCGGACUCUCCUGUUAGUAAAGCCAGUAUUCCUGAGCAUUCUUUCCCAGCUCUUAACAGGUCAUGAGUCCAUGUGAGUAACUAAGCACUGAGCUGCUUGGUUUCUGGCUGAUACGGGGAAGUAAAGCUGGUCAGCUCUCACACCCCUCACCUGCUCUACUCCCCUCAAGGCUUGUUUUGUCUUGGUUUUGUGUCUGCCUCUCUGAGCGGUCGUGGAAGCUUGGUUACCUCCAUUGACUUGACCAGAAUAGAAGAUGCCCUCAAGCCUAGCUAAGAUGCAGUAGCUCUAGCAAAUCCUUCAUCAGUCGUUCCUGAGACCAAAGAUGCUUAAGCCCCAAACCCAGAAUUUGACAGAGAAAGAGAUGUGGUAACUAAAAGAGCUCAAUGAAAAUCACGUGUCUCAGUGUGAUAGUCACUCCACCUACAACUUUACAUCCUUCAUUUUAUUUAAUCCUCACAGUGUUCAAUUUUAUCUUUCUUUCUCUGAUUCAGGGAUAUUAGAAUCAUUUACCAACGUCACCAACUAGUUCAGUGACAGAGCUAAGAGUUGAACCUACGUCCAUCAAAAUUCAACUGUUUGUCCCUUUGUGUCUGUCUCACCGUAAAUUUAUAAAGAAUAUCACUACUCUGUUUUUAGAUUAUCCCCCUUUUUCUUCUCUGAUCGACCUAUUAUGCUUAAUUAUUAUUAAUUUUAGUAAAUAACUUAAAAAGUCAUUUCAAUCCAAAGUUGGCAGAAAUUAGAAUUUGUAUCAUAGGAAAGUGUAUCAGUAAGGAAAAAUAGUGUAAUCCAUAUGAAGCCUAAGAAAUGCCCAGUUAUUAAUUAAUCAACUCAUUUAUCAAAUGCUUUCUGUGUGUCCUGGAUUACUAGUAAUAUUUUUAACAAAGAAAAAUUCUAGGCUUUUACAUUAUGAUUGUGUUUAUAUUUCUUUAAUCAAAUAGAAUCAUUUAUGGGACAUGAGAAGUUUGCAGGUCACAUGAUAUUUAUUAAAUGCUGAGUGAUUUAUUUAACAAAUCAUUGAUAGCUGUCUGUAAAUUUCAGUCAUUUGGAAUUUCAGACUUAAGGAUGCACACACAUACACACUAUACACAGUAACGUGUGACAUUCAGGCAGGCCAUCACCAGCACAGCUGUGGGGGCGUAGAAAGAUCCAUGGCAUCAUGUACUCUCUUCUAACAAAUUUUCAUACGCUAGAAGCAAAUUUAAUGAUCACCAAGGUUACCAGAAACUGUGCCAGAUGCUGUGAGGGGUCCAGCAAUAAAUCAGAAAGAGCCUAUGCUUUUACAAAACACAAACCCUAUUAGAACAGCAGAUAAUGUAUGUAGUUAACCAGAGUAAAGCAUGACAAACGCCGUAUUAGAACCUGAGUGUGACGUACUCUGAGAACUUGGCUGCAGGGACAGUGGGUUAGUUGGGACUGAUAAGGAAACACAGCAGAAGAAGGUAUUUGCUCAGGACAUUAGCACACGUGUAGAAGUCAAGUCAUUUGGAGUGGCGCUGCAGGGGUCAAGGGAUAUGGAUUUAAAGCUAAGAAAGAUCUAGAGGAAGCUAAUUAAAAUUUCAAUGUCAGAGUUCCCACUGUGGCUCAGCAGGUUAAGAACCCAAUGUAGUAUCCGUGAGGAUGCAGGUUUGAUCCCUGGCCUGGCUCAGUGGGUUAAGGCUCUGGCAUUGUAGUGAGCUACAGUGUAGGCCUGCAGCUGCAACUCUGAUUUGACCCCUAGCCUGGGAACCUCCAUAUGCCACAGGUGCGGCCCUAAAAAAAAUUUUUUUUAAAUGACAGUGCCUUCAAUUUAAGUGUUUUCUAAUUUUAGAUGUAACGUCACUCAGAUAAUUUGUACCAUAUUAAAAGCCUUCCAUUAUGAUAGUGCCUUAUUUUUCCUUUCUGUGUGAAGGUAUUACUUUACAGAAUCUCCAAAAAUUCAUUAGACUUAAUUUUGUCACCAUUUUCUGUCUUAUGCUUUCAGGAUUUGGAGAUAAGAUUUAUGGUUUUCUCAUACUUUCCUAUUUUUUUGUUUGAUAUCUUCAAGUGAUAAUCUAAGAAAAGAUAAGGAUAUGUAUUUCAUGCUGGAAAACAAGAAAUUGUAGCAAGUGAUAGAGCAUAUUUUCGGGAAAGAAAAGGCAUGAAAACAGCAUGCUAAGGCCAACUACAUUUAUAACUUCCACUUUAAAUUGGUUGAAGGAAAGAAAACCACCACAGGGAUGGACAAGGCAAAUGAAUUUAUUUACCUGCCAGGUAAGGAACCAGUUCGGGAACCUUGCCAGAUGGUUCUCUGGGAGGGACAAUUUAUGGUUUUUAGGUGCUAGGAAGUUCACCGUGGCUGUGCCGGCGAAGGAUGGAAGUGUACAAUUUGGAGAGGUCAGGAUGAACCUUAAGGUCCCCACAUGGGGAGUUCCCGUCGUGGUACAGUGGUUAUCGAAUCCAACUAGGAACCAUGAGGUUGCGGGUUCCAUCCCUGGCCUGG
rnacentral:lncRNA from 1 species